CACGUAGACACCAAGCGUUGUCCGGAUUUAUUGGGCGUAAAGAGCUCGUAGGCGGUUCAGUAAGUCGGGUGUGAAAACUUUGGGCUUAACCCAAAGCGUGCAUCCGAUACUGCUGUGACUUGAGUUCGGUAGGGGAGUGGGGAAUUCCUAGUGUAGCGGUGAAAUGCGCAGAUAUUAGGAGGAACACCGGUGGCGAAGGCGCCACUCUGGGCCGAAACUGACGCUGAGGAGCGAAAGCAUGGGGAGCAAACGGG
rnacentral:rRNA from 1 species